rnacentral:sRNA from 1 species
UAGGGAAUAAUACGUAAUGGGCCAGCGU